CAUAUCAGUCACAGACCUUUAAAAGAGUCAGAAAACUCUGAUCUCACCUCACCUCCUCUGGUUCCUACAAACCCAGCAGGUUCUGUUGAUCCAAGAUGUGGGUUCUGUUCAAAGUGGUUCUGCCGGUUCUGCUGCUGCUUGGCUCCAAUGCAGCGUCUGCAGCCGAGGAAUGUGACCUGCCAGACAAGGUGAAGCAAGAGGAGGUGCUCAAGGUGUUUGAGUCACGCUGGGUUCUGGUGGAGGGGUUCUCAGAUUACCCAGCAGGUGAAGACUUACUGAGAAAUGCCAGCAGCUCUGUGAUGGAGGCAGAUAAAAUCAGAAACAACACCAAAACCAUCCUGUUCAUAGAGAGAAACAUUGUGAACAGGAAGUGUCUGACCUUCCACGUCAACAUGUCGGCUUCUGACCCCGAGAAGUCCAACCACACCCUUGAACUGCUCCACCCCGGAACCAUGAACUCUGACGGCCAGGUGUCUCCGUAUGAUGAUAAGGGCAAAGCAGAUAUCUACCAGACCUGUCCCGACUGUGCGACCAUGAUCUACAGUGGAGUCUUUGAUGGAGUUGAUGGGAGGAUGCUGCUCAUCUACAGGCGUGAAGGGAAACACCUGGACACUAAGGAGCUGGAGGAGGCUCAGAGUGGCCACGCGAAGCUGGCAGAGUGUCUGAAGUUCAACGUUCCGUCACCGUUCAAGUACGACGGGAAGACAGAGUUCUGCAAAGAGAAGAAAGACUGACAAAGAGACGCCUGAGACAGAUGGAGGACGGACGAGUGAGGACGAUGUUUUCAUCAUGAGACAAAACCUCGAGUUUUUCACAGGUCCAGAAGAAGGCCAGGUGUAUCGCGGCGGAUCCCACCCACCUGUUUGUACCGCUUCCUUCUGGAAGAAACAUAAAAACAUGCACCACCAGACUGAGAGACUUCUUCCCCAGAGCGGUGAAAUCCAUCUCUGUUUUUGGAAAUAUUCCAAGUUGGAAACUUUCUAUGGAAAUUAAUGGGAACAUAUGGGAAUUAACUGGAAAUCUGGGGUCAUUUAUACAAACGCAGCAUUUUCUACUUUGAUUUAUUGUGAGUAAAACUUAAAUUGAUUCUUUCAUUGAACAAAAAACCAACAACAACAAACAAAAAAACUCCCACUCAAACUGUAAAAUUAAGAAUUUUCUUUUCUGUGUUUUUACAUAUAGCAUGUGUAGUAUUGAUCACAGAUCAGAUGUAUUGAUCAGUGUAAUCAGACUGAUGUAGAGUUUAAACCUGGUCGUUCUCACAUGAUGCUGCUGCAGGUUUUUUCAGCUGUUACUCUUUAAGUUGAACUCAUCUUUAUUCCUUUUUAUUUCCCUUUUAUUUAUUUUUGGCAGCUGUAGUCUGAAGGAUGGACUGGGUCUAAUGUGGUCUCAGGAGGAUCAGACUCAGAUUUUAAUGAUGAUGAAACCUUUUUGAGCUUCAGGUUAAAAUCUGAUUUAAUAAAAACCUUUGUUUCAUUGA